AAUCCAGCUGAUGGUUAACAAAAAACCCUUACCAGGAAGACAUGGACUCGAGUGCAUCUGUAGGGCUACUGAGAGCUGUGGCGGCUUUGGGCUGCUUCCACGAGGUGAGGAGACAUCUCUGCACACCGCAGACAGCCCUGUCCUUUCUGCAAUAAUUCUCUUCCUUUUACCACUCAUCCUGACUGACUCUCAAAAGCAGUAUUUUGAGCUGAGGAAGAUGCUCAGUGUAUUUCUUGUCACCAAAUCAGCUUGGCCACUCUUCCUGCCUGCAGACCCUCUCUGCCUGCCCUUUGUCCCCUUCUUCCCUUUGACUCAGGCUUCAGAAACAUCAUUGCCUGUUUGCAUUGACACUCCCAUCACCAAUCCAGCCCUCAGCCGUUUCCAGGAGCACAAAAAAGGAACAGCAGUGGAUGAACUGCCCAGUUGUGGCUUGAUGUGCAUUUCAGGUUAAUGGGAUCCAAGCACCAAGGCCUGCCGUGUGAGGGCAAGCAAGGCACACAUAGACCCUGUAAUGUACUUACAGCUCCAAUACUUCCUAUAUUUAUUUAUGUGGCCUGGUACCAGAAACAUCUCAGCAGGCCUCUCCAGACCAAGGACUUACUCCCCUUACUCCAGAGCAAGGGCUGGGAAGUCUCCUAGAGCUCCAGCCCUGUACAGUUGCUGGCAAUAAAGGGGUUACUGAGGUUCCUGCAGAGUGCCUAAGGCUCUUCCUUAGGAGACAGCCUUCAGAAUAUAAUAAAAGAAAGGUUGAGAGAGUCUCUAGUUGUUCAAAAAACUUCUCUCCUACUCUGCUCCCAGGCACUAGCUUGCUUGGUCACUUUGUGCUAAAUGCACUACAACUACCCAGGAGGCAGCAGGCAGCUUUCAUGAAUCUGACCAGAGGAAUAGACUCAGCUCCCUGCAUAUUACAGCCAAAUUGACUCCAAAUCAAGCAUGUUUAUUUGAGCUCUAUUCAAUACUAUUCAGCACCCUCAAGGGAAACUGAAGGUCUGUGGGUCUGAAGACCAAACAAUGUUGUUGCUAAACCAAGGAGACAGCCAUCCAUGGUAUCAGCCACCUUUCUAGUCAAGAAGAAACAAUGGAAUCAGAAGUCACCUCAUUUAGGUAAGGGACUGGCUUCUCUGAUGCUGGGAAAAGGCCCAGUGCCUGGGAUCUCUUUCCCCUUAGCAACUGGAAAAAUGGGCACUAGUCCUCAGCCUCUGGAGGUGAUUCCUGCCAAAUGUGAAGGAAAGGUAACCCUUCAAGGAGAAUACUGUAAAUUACCAAAGCAAGUAAUUGCCAUGGAGGGAGGUAUUCAGUAGCUGAGAGAAUUAGCCAUGCUGGAUGAUGUGGAAGGAUGCAAAGAUCUAGUGUGUACUUCAAUGAGAUUUAACCUUAGGUGAAGCUAAUCUAUAAUUAGAGUUAUAUGUUGUAGGAAAGCACUGCAGAAGACACUAACUGGAUCAAGAAAGAGUGAACUUGGCAAGGAACCUGCCCCGCUCAUUGUCCUGCUGUGGAAGAGGAGUGAGACACAGAGCAAGAAGCUUUGCAGCGCUUAGCUGCCUCCUGGUGUUAUACCACAACACUUGAGAGAACCAUGCUGUCAUGGUGACCCUUCAGCCUGACAGUAACCAGAUUCUUAAAAGGAAAAUAGAGAAAACACAAGAGAGUCACGUCUGCCCAGAACAUCCUGGUCAAGCCCAACCCUCUGAUUGAGGUCAGUGUCACUGACAUUGGCACCAGAGGGGUUCAUACUGGAACCAAAGUCAGGGAAGGGACAGGGAUAGCUGUCAAUGAAGGACCAAAGCUCACACACACCCUUUCCUGUGCUCUACACCACUCAGUACCGGGGUGGCUCAUCAGUGGCUUGGAGCAGCUGCACAUGGCUGCGAGCUUUCUUCUUCCCAUUUCUCACACCAACCCUUACUCCUCACAUUCCUGAACUACUUCAGCUUUGGAAACAAGUUUCCAUCAUUUCCCACUAGGAUGGACACCCUAUAAUGGCCCACCUGAUGAGCCCUGAUUUGUUUUUUGGGCAUGGUUCAGUUCAGUUCAGUCCACGAGUUUUGUUCUCUGAGGGAAGAAUGGGAAAAGAGGAAAGUACAAAGGGUCACCUGGGAGCUCAGUGGGAGAAAGGAGAUGUCUGAAGACCCUCAGAGAAGAUGAAUUAGGAAAGACAAAAUCUUUUUUACAUCCGAAAUGAGGCAUCUUUCACCUUUUUUUUUUUUUUUUUCUUUAAUGGUGGUAGAUUUAACAAACCUAUAUUGGAGUAAGGCUGAGUUUAUUGUAUAUCUCCUUUGCUCUUUCCCCAGUAACAUGAAUAUCUGUGCAUUUGCCUUAGUGCUUCGUCCUGUGGUCGUAUUUUGGUUGUUUGGUUGGUGUUGUUUGUGUGCUUCUCUCACAGAUUCGAGACUAUAAAGGGAGCAAGAACUUCAGAGACACGCAUUUGUAGCACCACAAGUAGAAGUCUGGGAAAGCAGUAUAGUAAAUAAAGUAAUUGCUAGAGCUCUCA